GACGAACGCUGGCGGCGUGCUUAACACAUGCAAGUCGAGCGGAGCGGCGAACGGGUGCGUAUCGCGUGAGUAACUGCCCCCCUCCCUGGGAUAACAGUUGGAAACGGCUGCUAAUACCGGAUAGUGGGGGAUGGCGCGCGGCCUAUCAGCUUGAGGGUGGGGUGAUGGCCUACCAAGGCGGUGAGGGGUAGCCGGCCUGAGAGGGUGACCGGCCACAUUGGGCUGUGAUACGUCCCAGACUCCUACGGGAGGCAGCAGUGGGGGAGAGUGCACAAUGGGCGAAAGCCUGAUGCAGCGACGCCGCGUGGGGGAUGAAGGCUUUCGGGUUGUAAACCUCUUUCGCUAUCGAAAGGGUAGGUGGAGAAGAAGCGCCGGCUAACUACGUGCCAGCAGCCGCGGUAAUUC
rnacentral:rRNA from 1 species